rnacentral:rRNA from 1 species
UACGUAGGCAGCGGGCGUUGUUCGGAGUUACUGGGCGUAAAGAGUGCGUAGGCGGUUUUCUAAGUUUGGUGUGAAAUCUCCCGGCUUAACUGGGAGGGUGCGCCGAAAACUGGAAGGCUUGAGUAUGGGAGAGGUAAGCGGAAUUCCUGGUGUAGCGGUGAAAUGCGUAGAUAUCGGGAGGAACACCAGUGGCGAAGGCGGUUGCCUGGAGCUUUGCUGACGCUGAUGCGCGAAAGCGUGGGGAGCGAUCCGG